rnacentral:rRNA from 1 species
UACGGAGGGUGCAAACGUUGCUCGGAAUCAUUGGGGCGUAAAAGCGCACGUAGGCGGACCUGUAAGUCGGGGAGUGAAAGCCCCCGGGGCUUAACCCCGGGGAAGUGCUUUCGAAACUGCAGGUCUUUGAGUACUGGAGGGGGCGGCGGAAUUCCCGGUGUAGAGGUGAAAUUCGUAGAUAUCGGGAGGAACACCAGUGGCGAAGGGCGGCCGCCUGGACAGGAUACUGACGCUGGAGGUGCGAAAGCGUGGG